rnacentral:sRNA from 1 species
CUGUUUAUUACCGCCAUUCCCAAAAUGGCGGGGUAGGCGCAGUCGACUGCACCAAUCCACCCGCCGGUUAGGCGGGUUUU